GUCGAUGUAGAACUCGGUGUUGACGCCAUCGACUAUCCUUCCCCUUUCCAAGACAAAUUUUCCUUCCUUGUACUUCUGAUCUUUUUCUUGUGCUGACUCAUAUUUCCAGCCUGCGUUCUGGCCGCAGCAGCAGCAGUAUAUGUCAGCUACGGUGUGCCUUCCAGAGAGCAUCAUUCUCUCCUCUCGAGCUCCAACCGAAACGUUUGCGACAUUAUUGAAAAGGUAUGCCUUCCCGCGACGACAAUGGAACGACUUGGAGACCAGAUCCUCCGCUAGGGCAAGAUGGGUGCUGCAAAAUCGGCAGCUGUAAACCUUGCCGUCCAACUCCACAGUGAACACCCUCCCCAUCUUUCCCACAAAACCCUACAACUUUGG
rnacentral:misc_RNA from 1 species